rnacentral:lncRNA from 1 species
UUAAUUUCUUCAUUAGAUUUAGAUAAAGAACCUUCCAAAAUUUCUUUAUCCUUCUUAAGUUGACCUCAUGAAGCAUUAGCAAAUCCUAACUCUGAAGAUAAGCUAUGAUUCUGUUGCUCCAAGUGGACUUUGUUUUCGUGUAACUCCUCUGUAGUCCCUUGAGCAUUCUCAUACUGAUCCUUCCAAUUCGCUGCUUCAAGUAAUGCAUCCCCAGCUAUCUUCCUAGCUUCGGAGAUA